rnacentral:lncRNA from 1 species
AUCCACAUUGAAACCCUCCUUAGCCCAGAAUUCAAAAGGUUUUUUUUUUUUUACUGUAAACCUCCCACCUCCCUUCCCAAUUUGUCGAAUACUAAGCUCCCAUCAGCAGGGAUUCUGCAAUUAAUAUUUUAUAAUUAGGAAUAAAGAGGUUGUUAUUGCUCAAUUUCACCUUUAACCACUAAAGAAUAUGCAAUUUUACAUACAUUCUGAUCUCACCCAAAAAAGGCUAAAAUGAGAUUAUAGUGGGAAGUUCUUUUGUGAGAUAUGCAUCCUUAAAAUAGCCAGCAUUAACUUCAAGAAAAGACAUUCACCUUCAGGAGACUGCUGACUUAAACCAGAAGAAGAGAGCUUCAUUCCUGCAGGUUCAACAGUAAAAAGAUGCAACCAGAAAGAAAAUUGCCCUUUUCAACCCAAAUUUGGCACUACUUCAAUGCAUGCAGUCAUAGCAAUAGAUACCUACUCCACUCCACCCCACCCCCCCCCACCCCCUCACUGCCAACCCCCAAAUAUAGUGCAAGAGAAUUGAGGAAAUUAUAGUUCUUCACGUAAAUAUUUUGAAGUAAAUGUUAACUUUAACUCCCCUGCAAAUAUGUUCAACCAAAACCUGUUCUACUACAGAACACGAAAAAGUUCUGCUUCAUCAGCUCUUUAUAUUCUUCACCAAACACCCCCAGACACAGAAUUUCAUUUCCAAGAAAUUCAUAUGCCAAAUCUUGAACUGAUCAACAAUCAUAUUUCAGCUCAAACUCCACCAUGAAAGUGAAACCAAAUCUUUUAGCUUUAACUGAAAAUUUUACAGUUGAUGAGUCCCAAAUUCCUCAAAGAACAAGAAUCUUUUAAACCCAGAAACAAAAUCACAAAAAAAUAAAAAUAAUAAUAAAUAUUUAAAACCCUGUUCAGAUCUCGGUUGCACUCAAUCAAUGACCUCGAACAAACGAUCACAAGAAAGCUACGAUCUUUUCUUCACACAGCUCAACAGCUUCGAUCCACAAAUCAAGCAUAUUUCACCUCAUUGAAGCUCGAAUAUACAGAUGGCCUUCGAUUCCAGGCACAGACCUUCAAACUGAAAGCACAGGUGCAUGCCCGUGCAUAUCAAGCGGAGAUGAUAAGGGCCACUCUACUCGUCUGCUUGUGCCUAACGUUUUCACUACUCUCUGUACCUUGUAGAACACAAACGGAGUAUAAUUUUCUCUUUCCUCCGAGCAAAUCAAUCAAUUCAACCUUUAUUUGAUUUUAUUUAUUUUUACAGUAAAAACUUGUAACGACACUGAUUAGAUUGUUU